rnacentral:tRNA from 1 species
CCGAUGUAGCUCAGCUGGUUAGAGCGGCUGAUUUGUAAUCAGCAGGUCGUGGGUUCGAAUCCCUCCAUCGG